UGAUUUUCCUUGGAGUUGCACAAAGUUUAUACCAUUUUAUGGAGGAGCAGCAUUCCAUGACUACCAUCACUAUGUUGGUGAAAAAACUCAAAGCAACUUUGCCUCAGUAUUUACCUAUUGUGACUACAUUUAUGGAACUCAUAAGGGCUACCAAUACAUAAAACAGAAGGGAAGGGAAAAUUCUACUUACACCAAAAAGUACAAGAUGAAGUAGCUGUGUUAUGCUUUCAGCUUUAAAAUUGGCUCUAUGG